AAAAAGUAUAUUAAUUAUUUUAAUGGGGGUUAAAGUAUAUUAAUAGAAAAAAUUAAAAAAUUUAUAGUGAAUUAAGUAUUGUGAAAGAAUUUUGAAAUAAUAUAAAAAGAAAUUAAUUAAAAGUAAUUUUUAUUUAGUGUAUCUUGUGUAUCAGAGUUUAUUAAAAAAUAUUCUUAGAAAAAGAAAUUCUCGAAUUUAAAAGAGAUAAUUAAUUAUGAAAGUUAUUGUGACAUAAAUAUUUUUAAUAAUUAAUUGGAAAUGAAAUGUUAAUCGUUUUUAAAUAUAUCUAGUUUUUUUAGAAAAAAAUUUAAUUUUAAAUUUAUUAUUUUUAUUAAUUAAUUUAUUAAUUAAUAAAAUAAUAAAUUUUAUAUUUUAAGGGAUAAGCUUUAAUUUUGAUAAAUAUAAUUGAUUAAUAAAAUAAAUAAUUAAAAAUUAUAUAAUUUAUAUUGUUAAUUAAUUAUAAUUUAUUAUAAAUAAUUUUAUUUAAAAUAAAAUUUAAUUAAAAAUUUAUUUUUAUAUAAAAAAUUAAUUUAAAAAUUAUAUUAAAUUAUUUAUAAUGAUAAAAUUAGUAUAUAACAAAAAAAAUUAAUUUAAGUAAAUAAAAAGUAAAUUAGUUAAAAGGAAUUCGGCAAAAAUUUAUAUUCACUUGUUUAACAAAAACAUGUCUUUUUGAAAAUAAUAUAAAGUCUAGUCUGCCCACUGAUUUAAUAUUGAAGGGCUGCAGUAUAUUGACUGUACAAAGGUAGCAUAAUCAUUAGUCAUUUAAUUGAUGACUUGUAUGAAAGAUUGGAUGAAAUAUAAACUGUCUCUUAAUUAAUAUGUAGAAUUUAAUUUUUUAAUUAAAAAGUUAAAAUAAAUUAAAAAGACGAGAAGACCCUAUAGAGUUUAAUAGUUAAAUUUAUUAAAAUUAUUUGUAAAUUUAAUUAUUUAAAUUUUUUUAAUUAUUUUAUUGGGGUGAUAGAAAAAUAAAUAUAACUUUUUUUAAAUAAAACCAUAAAUAAGUGAUAUAAUGAUCCAAUUUUAUUGAUUAUAAGAAAAAAUUACCUUAGGGAUAACAGCGUAAUUUUUUUUUUUAGUUCAAAUAAAAAAAAAAGUUUGCGACCUCGAUGUUGGAUUAAGAUAAAAAUUAAAUGCAGAAGUUUAAAUUUUUGAUCUGUUCGAUCAUUAAAAUCUUACAUGAUCUGAGUUCAAACCGGUGUAAGCCAGGUUGGUUUCUAUCUUUUAAUAAUAAAAAUAUUUUAGUACGAAAGGAUUAAAUAUUAAAAUUAAAUUUAUUAAUUUUGAAUUUUAUU
rnacentral:rRNA from 1 species